CGACUCUUGGGUCCUGUCGGCGACUUGGUUCUUGUUGUAUGGUCUCAGAUGACUUUGGGUUUCAGAUGACUCAGAUUUGUGGUUCCGAUGCCGAAGUUCUGAUCCCGUGCUCCGUGGUACACAGCCAACCAGUCAUUGCAUCAUUUGCAUCAUUUGCAUCAUAGCAUGUUUAUUUUAAAAAAAAAAUAUGCAAUAAAAAAAGAAAUGAAAGAAAAAAGAAAAGAAA
rnacentral:lncRNA from 1 species